rnacentral:rRNA from 1 species
AGGCCGAAGACCGGGCAGCGGACGCCUCACGGGGUGGAGGAGAGGCUGAUGGGCGGAGCCGUUCGCUCGCCGGACGUGGCGGCGCCAGGUUCCAGAUCGAACGCAGGCUUACUGGUUUUGGUUCAGUUUGAAGGGUUCUCGGGGCAAAAGAUAAUUGAGUUGUUGAAUCUAAAUGGGCGCCGCGAGGAGUGGAGGAUCGAGGUUGUGGGUUGCCAGCUUCAAAUUUUGGUUGAGCACUUCCUCAAGAAUCUUGUUGAGCUCCGCAAGGAGUUGAAGGCUGAGGUCAUGGUUGCCAGCUUCAAUUUUUUGCUGAGCAAUUCCUCAAGAGUCUUGCCAAGAUCUGAGGAUGAAGGGAAGAAGAAGAAUUUAACUAAAGAGUUGAAGAAGAUGAAGAUCUUGAAUGCACGAUUGAUGAUUUUGCUGGAUAGGUUACAAAUCUAAAUAAUAAACAUUUUUAAAUGAUGUGGUUGGUACACAUGCGAAGCUAAGAAAAUAAACAUUUUUAAAUGAUGUGAUGGCUAGAUGAGAUUUGUGGUGAAAAUUUCCCAUUCUUUUAUUUACCUACAGAUCUUGAAUGCACGAUUGAUGAUUUUGCUGGAUAGGUUACAAAUCUAAAUAAUAAACAUUUUUAAAUGAUGUGGUUGGUACACAUGCGAAGCUAAGAAAAUAUAUAGUUUACUCACAGUGUUGUUUGAUCCAUUGUUGUGUGGCAGGCUCGCUGAUGGUCUGGCAACGCUGCAUAUACAUCUGAAUGUCAAUGAUAGUAUGGUUUAGAUAGACAAGUUAAUAAUUUCUUUUUUCUUGAAUGCCAAUGAUAGUAUGCCAAGAGGAAGGGUAAUUCGUGCAGGGGAAUAAACCCUACAUGGUAAUCAAGGGGAACAUGCUUUAUAAGUUGUGCUUUUUGUAAGGUAAGCUGUGUUUUUCGACCCGUUGUUCUUUAGAUAUCUUCCUUUUACAUUUUUUGUAUGCGAUGGUUAGUUGAUCAGGCUGAGUGCUUCUUUGCAGUGCUUGCUUUGUUGGAACAUGUUCAUUUGGCUAAUAAGACAGUACACAUCUCUCUUGAAUUAUGUGCAUCUCCUUUUUAGUUAUUUGAUUUUUUUAGUGACUCGCUAAUUGGAAAAUCAGGAUGCUAAAACUUGGCAUAAUGAAUUCUUGAAUUACGUACUUCUUAUUGUGCAUGUCAAACUAAGGACUAAAUAUAUUUUUAGUUGAGCUAUUGUUUUGAGUAUUUCCCUGCAACAACUUAAAUUACUUUUUGCAAAUAAAAUGAGCUAGCAUAUGCUAUACUUGCAAUGGUAAAUUAAUUAUGCAGUUCUGAGGAUUGAGGAAAUUAAUGGUCAGUGGUCAUUGAGGUUUUGAAAGAGCCAUCAAGGCAACAAUCUCAUUUCAUCUCAUGCAUUGAUUUUGUUAUCUUCUUUAUAUGGCAUUUUAUUAAUUAUUUAUAUAUAUUUGCCGUAUUGCCGUUUCUAAAAAUUGUUGUAUCCUUUGUCCCCAUUUCCGUAUCGCCGUAUCUGUGUUGCCGGUGCACCAUAACAAUCACUUAUUGAAGAAAAAUGUCCCUUUUCUUGUUCCCAUUGCUCGAUAGGCAUGAUCGCAUUUCUACUGAUUGAUUAUAAAUAUGGCCUUUCUUUUGAUUAUUUGGUGGUACUUCUGAUUGGCACCAUGAGGUGCUUCUUUGUCGUGUAGAUUCAUCCUUUACUUAAAUACUGAUGAUGAUAUGGUUGUAAAUUAGUCUGGUAUAUGCCAAUAGUUGUCUCUCCCAGAAGAAUUUUUGUGAGAAUAGCAUACCUAAAGAGUUGGUUGUUUGUCUGGAUUGAACACCCAGCUAUAAGAAUGGGUUGACAACACCGAUUGACUCUAUUGGCGCUUCUAUGUUGUCCAGCUUCAUCAUUUACUUAUACACUGAUGAUAUUGUUGUCAGCGUGUUGUAAGUACUUUGGGAAACAAGUGUGGUAUAUUACAAUGAUGUAGUCCUACAGAUCAGUACAGGUCACCGGCUUUAUAUUGUGGUCAGCGUGUUGUAAGUACUUUGGGAAACAAGUUCUGGGGUAAGUUUAUCUGCUUUCUCAUGCAUUUUAAUACUUGAUUGAUGUCCUGAUAAUUUGUGAAGUUCUGUGUACCAUGUGAUAAGCUGCACAUCAGGUUGCCUGGCAGCUUGUUUGUUGCUUUUAGGAUGUGCAUGUACCCAGGUGGAUCAAAUACAGAUACCAAUCAUAUAUUAUUAUUUUUACUCGUGUGUUUUUCUUGUGCCUGCCAAACAUUUCGAAAAUUGAUUAUAUCAUUCAGAUGUAUUCAGGCUGGGUUUCUGUGAUCCAAAAAAAUCAUCUGCCAUGGCUUUCUUUUUUACAUACAAAACUAAGUGUGGAGCAGUGUAUAUGUUCAUUGCUUUCUUAUCACAUCGCAUUUGUCGGAGGUGCUGUACUGAUUUGAAGGAAAUGCUUUUAUAUUUCCAAGUUGAUCAACUACACAACUUCUGAUCCUAAAGUAUGUCAAUGCAGCUCCAUGUUGUGCUAUCUUGCUAUUGGGCUCUUUUUUCGUUACUUAAAAUGGUCAGGUAUCUCUGAUGUUAAAUUCGUGGUUGAUUGCUUAUAUCCAAAAUAACUAUGUUAGUACACUGAAGCCAAUUUCUAAAUUGUUAGUGAAGUUGGCUAAAUAGUUUUUACGCCACUAAGAUAUAUAUGUGCACUGCAUUCUAACCCUGUAAAUUGUUAUGCUAUUAGUUUAAUCCAGAAUAUAAUUAUGUUAGUACACUCUGCAAUAUAAUUAUGUUAUAUUCUGCUUUUGUCAGUUUGCUGGUCCAUAUUAAUUUCCUUGAGCUUAUUUUCACAUCUCGUCAUAUUUACACCUCUCCGCCAACUGCCACCUAUCAUGGAGGGAGAUGGCUUGGCCAGGCCAUCAACACCCAUCGGCAACUUCCGGCAGGCGCCGUCCCGUUCUUUCUCCCCUUACUCUGAUGCCUUCAUGGCCAAAAUCAUUAGCAGGAGCAAGAAGGUUAAGCACCUAUUAUGGUUAAAGCUUUGUCUCUUUUGUGUACUAUGCAUGAUUGAUCUGAUUUUGCUGGUCAGCUUACAAAUUCAAGUAAUACGACUAUUGCAAUGCAUCUUACUACGUGUGUAUUUAUUUGCAUUGAUAUUUUCUCCUCCUUAGGCUCCAAAUCGUUUGUGGGUCAUAAAUUAUUGUGCAUUAUUGAUGAUUAAUUUGCAAUUUAAAUGACAACAGGGCUGGGUUUUAUAAGUGCAAUGGCUUGAAAUGUGACCUUCCAGUCAAGAAAUUUCCUCAGUGAGAAGCUUAUGUGAAGAAUGAUGUAAUUAAGUUAGCAAUUUACAGUUCUCUUUGAUAAUUGUAACUGAAUUGUCAAUGGCCAGUUCUCUUGAAUAAUGAGUUACUCCCUCAAUUUUACAAUAGAGAUAAUUUGUCAAAAUUGUGUUUUUGUAAUGUUUGUGGUCUUCUCUUUUCUUUUUCUUGAUUUGUAUUGUAUAUGCUACUCGCAUAUUUGAACAUGCAUAGGGCCUCUCAGUCUUUAACCCUGACUAUAAAAAUCCAUUGAUGGAAGUUGGGGAGGGCCGAGAUGAACAUCCGGCUCCCUGGGUCUAAGCCAUCGAGAUGGUAGAGACGACGUUUCCAUGUCACCUACUCCAGCAGCCGGACAAGGCAUAUAAAAACCAUGGAUUCUUGCUCCCCAGGCGGCAAAAUGAUCACAGUGAUGUCUACGACCUCCUCCUAGAUGUAUUAAUCUCAAUCUCAUGUUUGGUUUUCUUCCAUUUUCUCUUCUAAUGAUGUAAUUUCUUUUACUAAGAUAACACCAUGUUUGUUGUAAUGCCUUAUUUGAUGUAAGAUCCCU